GUGGAUCUGCGCUAAAGUCUGCGUUAGUCAAAACUCCAACGCCGUCGCUUUUUUCACCACAGAUGUCAACUUGGAUACGUUUGUUUUCCAAGCUCAUGGCUGAAAACAUGAGCGGUCAUUUUGUAUAGUAAUGUGUAUAUUUUACUGGUAAUCGAUCAAGAUAACUGACAGAAGUCCCGCAAAGGGAGGAAGGGGAAAAUGGACCACGAAUUUGAGGACAUGGAUUCAGAAGACCGGUGGCAGAACCUCUACCUAGAAAUACGUAACCAGUCUCAGGAAUGUCCGUUCAAAGUGGCGAAGUUUCCUGAGAACCGCAAUCGUAACAGAUACAGAGACGUCAGCCCCUUUGAUCACAGCCGAGUGAAGCUCGGGAACUCGGAGAAUGACUACAUCAACGCCAGCCUCGUGCCUGUGGAGGAAGCCCAAAGAAGCUACAUACUAACUCAGGGUCCUCUCAGAAACACUUGUGGUCACUUCUGGCUGAUGAUCUGGGAACAGAAGUCAAAAGCAGUCAUCAUGCUGAACAGAGUAAUUGAAAAAGGCUCGGAGAAAUGUGCGCAGUACUGGCCCACGCAGCAGAAACAGGAGAUGGAGUUUCAGGACACACACUUUGUUGUGAGGCUGCUAUCAGAGGACGUCAAGUCUUACUACACCACACGCUUACUGGAGCUGCAGAACACAAACACGAAAGAGAAGAGAGAAAUCUACCACUUUCAUUACACCACAUGGCCUGACUUUGGUGUCCCAGAAUCCCCGGCGUCUUUCCUCAACUUCCUGUUUAAAGUGCGUGAGUCGGGAUCGUUAGGGGCGGAUCACGGGCCGGCGGUGGUGCACUGCAGCGCAGGGAUCGGCCGAUCCGGAACCUUCUCCCUGGUCGACACCUGUCUCGUACUGAUGGACAAAAGGAAAGACCCGUCAUCUGUGGACAUUAAGAAGGUGCUGCUGGACAUGAGGAGGUUCAGGAUGGGUCUGAUUCAGACUCCUGACCAGCUCCGCUUCUCCUACAUGGCCGUGCUGGAGGGAGCCAAGUGCAUCAUGGGAGAUUCUUCAGUACAGAAACGGUGGCAGGAGCUCUCCAGAGAGGAUCAGGUGUGUGUGUCCGAGUCUCCUUCACCACCCAAAUGUCCAUCAGAGCGCUACAACGGCUCGCUGAAGCCGCGACCGGACGGAGACACGGGGGAGACGGAGGGAGCGAAAAAAAACACAAAAGACGAAAGAGAAGCAGACGGAGACACGUGCCCGGCCAACGCACGAAAGAGACAGAGAGACGAGAAGAUCUCCAUUUCUACACAGAAGACUCCUCAGAAGCAGCCGAAGCCCAGGACAAACGAGGGAGAGAAGAAGAGGAAAAGCCUGGGCUGCAUCUGCUGUACAUGAGAAUGGCGAGCUCUGACCCCUCCCCUUCUCCCUCCUCUCCUCUCUCCUGCCCCCGAGGCCGAGGCGGCGCCGCGAGCCUGGGCUCACCCAGGCCUCUGUGCACAAACCCAGGCUAGCGAGAAUGACCAGCGACACCUAACGCCUCGGCAACCAGAGCAGGGAUCCAGACCAUAAUACUCCUCUACACUGUUUACAGCAUGGACUCGAGUGAGGAGCGAGUGUGCCCUCACACACACACACACACACACACACCAGCAGAGCAGCGCUGGACUGGAGCGCACUGCCGUGGCUUCGAUCUUUUAAUGAUACUAUCUAUUUUUUUAUUUGGUUUGGAUUUCACAGACGUAGUUCUCUAUGCAUCACCGAUUUGUACCAUCCUAUUUUUUAUUAGAAGAUCACGAUUAUUUCUGAAAUACUCUAUUUUUUAUAGCAGACAACGACUCUGAAGAUUCUCGGCUCGUAUCCGAGACACGCUGCGCUUUUUUCGUGGUACUGAAGCAUUCGAGUAUUUUUGAUAAGACGACGCGCUCGCUUUCACGAGAAACGUCAUAAAAAAACGGAAGAAGCAAAAAAAGGUCUUAAAGAAUUUCCUUCAAUUUCCUUAAACAGAACGCUGCGUUGUCUGGUUUGUGUAUCAUUUGUCCUGCGUGAUCGUCUCAUGUACAUUAAUUUUUUUUUUUUAGAGAGAAUAAACGUCUCGGAAGAGUG